ensembl:lincRNA
AAAUUUCUUCAGUGUUCAAAUGUUAAAACACUCAUGGUUAAUAGCCAUUUAAGGUUCUAUGUUAAGCUUACUGCCUGUACUGCACUGUACUAUUAUCAAGCUUCUGGACGUUCAACAACUGAAAUUAAGAGAUAAUUAUAAAUUCCUUUUGGAUUCCUUUUGCUGGGAUCCACCAGAUUUUUUCCAGAAAGGUUAUAUGAUGCAUGCAAAACAGCAAGACCAACACUGGGGCAGAGGCCAGGCUUGAGCCUUUCCCAGCCUGUGCGCCUGCCCUGGCUCUGCCCUCUGCUGAGCCAUACUUAACUAUACUCAACUGGCGUUAAAUGACACCGUAGCUGAUCGCUCUCCUAAAUAAAAAGGUAAAGGUAAUAAAACAGGCCAUCCUCCAAAAGUCAGAUGGCAAUAGCAUUUUAACAGCAUACUUAUAUAUGACAACAAAUGACAUGUCAGUUCCUAAAAUUCCCUGGACCUUAUCCUCCUAAUGGGAAGCCAUUACUGAAGUUAUGAUCAUAAAUACCCUGUUGAUUGUAUUAUCUGACUUCUGAAUACUUAAUUGACUCUACAGAUACCUUCCACCAUGGGCCAGAUCCCAAGACAAAAGGCUAAACUUGGCCCUCAAACCCCACAGGGAGACCUUCUUAAUAUGGCUUUUUGUGUUUUCAACAACAGAGAUAAAAAAUAACAAUCUGAUCUUUUAGCAGUGACACUUGGAGCUCUGAGACAGAUAAACUGAUACAACGUGGAGCUGCCUGAGCCCCUCCUGGACCAUGCUUCAAAUGCAGCAGAAGGACAUUGGGCAGGAGAGUGCCUCAUCCUGGUGUUGCUUUGGGGCCUUGCCCCAGGGCUACUGGACUGUCCUAGCCACCAGAGAGUGGUCUAACAUGUGGGCAUUCACCAGUGAUAAAGUUGUCUUGGUUAAAACACCUGGCACCAGCUUCUACAUGGACAUCAACUAUCAUCCUGUCGACCUUCCUAAACCCCAGGACAGCGCCCCCUUCCAGCAGGAAGUAGUAGAAGAAAGAAAAACUCUGCCCUUUUUCCUAAUAAUAUAAAAAUGGGAAUGAAAGGAUUUUGCCCUAAAUGAGAUGCUGUAGCAGUGGGAGGCGCUGGGAGGCAAAAAGUCAUCUUCCCUGCCCCUAAGCAAUUUUUUUUUGUCUUUUUGAGACAGGAUCUCACUAUGCAGUUCAGGCUGGCCUUGAGCUCACUUUGUAGCCCAGGCUGGUCUUGAACUCGCAACGAUCCUCCUGCCUCAGCCUCCCGAGUGCUGGGAUUACAGACGUGAGCCACACGCCUGGAAACCCCUAAGAAAUUUAUCUGUGGCACAAAAUGAAUUACAAUGGGCUACCUGUGCAUCAGUAAUGCCCCUUAGGCUCCCCCAAACCUAAGCUAUGUGUAUGCCCCCACUCCACAUGUCUGGCAGAGAGAAUGCCAGACAUCAGUGGUCGGGGUGUUCUCUCUCUGUAUUCUUAAAAUAAAGGCCACUUUACUUUACAUUCUGUCUUCUAACCGCGCCAAAACCUCUUUCACUUACUAUGUCCGUACUCCCGCCUGAAGGAGGAGAAAACACGAAAAGGAGGUCUUCCUUCAAGGGCUUGUUCCAGAAACACAAAUCUCUUCUGCUCAUAUGCCGUUAACCACAGCCUGGUCACGUGCCCAUGUCUGCUGCAAGGAAUGCUGAUUAAUACAGUCUCCAUCUUGGAUCACCUCAUUCCCA